rnacentral:rRNA from 1 species
CCCUUAGAUGUUCUGGGCUGCACGCGCGCUACACUGAAGCGUUCAACGAGUAUUCACCUUGCCCGGGAGGGUUGGGUAAUCUUUUUAAAACGCUUCGUGAUGGGGAUAGAUUAUUGCAAUUAUUAAUCUUCAACGAGGAAUUCCUAGUAAGCGCGAGUCAUCAGCUCGUGCUGAUUACGUCCCUGCCCUUUGUACACACCGCCCGUCGCUCCUACCGAUUGAGUGGUCCGGUGAGGCUUUGGGAUCUGAGCGGAAAGAGCGUUUCGCUGUUUCUGCUCGGAAAACUCAGUCGAACCUUAUCAUUUAGAGGAAGGAGAAGUCGUAACA